rnacentral:misc_RNA from 1 species
GUUUGUGGGACGUGUCUUCCAUGGCUGACAAGAAUGUGCUUGAUGCAAUGCACGUCUAUGAGGCUCAUGAAAGCGUGGUCGGUGAUGUGUCAUGGCAUUUGAAGAAUGAGAACUUGUUUGGAUCUGUAGGCGAUGAUUGCUUGUUGGUGAUAUGGGAUUUGCGCACAAAUAAAUCUGUGGAUUCUGUUCGAGCUCACGAGGAGGAGGUGAACUAUGUUUCUU